UAGCUUUAUAUGGAGGUGACACAAAGCUAGUGAUGUGCUGGAAAGCAAGGAAUCUGGAGCUAUGCUUUUCUCCUUUGGCUUGUCCAGCAUCUUUUAACCACUUGGAAGUGCUCAUGGGUGGGCCAAGAACAAGGAAACUGAAGUGUCCUUACCAGUGAGGGCAGCCUCCAUUUCUGCUGAUGCUAUGUGAAUGCUGAAUGUGGCUCCUCCACUCUGGGUGUUCCUUUUGUCAAUGGACAGUCAUCUACUGUGCAGAUGAAGAAAACCUCCAUGUGAAGAAACAUAGAUUCACUUCAAACCUGUUCUUUUUCAUUUACACUGAUAAAACCGGCACAGCUCCAGGCCACAAACCUUCUGCAGUCCUCGCGAGGGAUGCCAUCAUUUGCAUAGAAAUGAACAACACCGGAAAGAGACUUAUCAUGUGAUUGGGUCACCUCAGAUCUCGUCUGAAAAUGCCUGGUGGAGGAGUAAGAGAAUUUUGGUAGGAAGACUGGAGAUAUGCUACUUCUCAAAGCCUCAGAGAUGGAAAAAUGGAAGCACAGACAGAGGAUCUUUCCCCAGAAUCACAGCGAGUGAAUGGCAAAAUCAGGAGUCUAGCUUGUGUGGAGCUGCACUGAGGAUGGACGACACAGCUCUGCUGCUCACAGUGCUACGGGAGGUGACAGCCUUGCUGACAAAACUAAUUUGCUGGUGGCACUUGAGGAAAAGAACCCCUUGCAAAUUUCUAAACAGCAG
rnacentral:lncRNA from 1 species